rnacentral:lncRNA from 1 species
AAUUUCUAUAUAAAACUUAUAAAAUCUGCUGGCUACAGGUGGACACAGCUGGACACAACGUUAUUUCUAUAUAAAACUUCUAGAAAUAAGGGGAUACAGGCGGACACAAGUGGACACAACGCAAUUUCUAUAUAAAACUUAUAAAAUCUGCUGGCUACAGGUGGACACAGCUGGACACAGUGCUAUUUCUAUAUAAAACUUCUGAAUAUGGGGGCUACAGGCGGACACAACUGGACACAACGUAAUUUCUAUAUAAAACUUAUAAAAUCUGCUGGCUACAGGUGGACACAGCUGGACACAACGUUAUUUCUAUAUAAAACUUCUAGAAAUGAGGGGAUACAGGCGGACA